UACGUAGGGGGCAAGCGUUGUCCGGAAUCAUUGGGCGUAAAGGGCUCGUAGGCGGUUUGUCGCGUCGGGAGUGAAAUCCACUGGCUUAACUGGUGGCUUGCUUUCGAUACGGGCAGACUGGAGGUAUGCAGGGGAGAUCGGAAUUCCUGGUGUAGCGGUGAAAUGCGCAGAUAUCAGGAGGAAUACCGGUGGCGAAGGCGGCAUCCUGGACCGAGAUUGACGCUGAUGAGCGAAAGCUAGGGGAGCAAACGGG
rnacentral:rRNA from 1 species